UUUUGCUUCGUGGUUUCGGCAACAGAGACCUGCACAGCGUGGCGCCCCACACCCCGCACCUGCCCAUCUAGGCCCACCCUAAUAGCAGGGGCCAAGCUGCCUCACGGUUGAUGGGAGGGAGCCAUUGUGCCUUGAUGAAGCCAGGAGACCCAGCGGCUUCUGGGAAAGGCACCUUCCAUUGGACUUAAGGGCAACUGUGUACAAUAGUCUGGAUCUCAAGACCUGGGGCAGCUGUAUACAUCAGCAUGGCCUGGAUUCUCAAGACCUGAGGCAACAGCUUAGGUCAGCCUGGUUUGGAUCCCAUGUGCCUUCAGUGAACCACUUCUGUAAAGAAUUUUUCUAGAAAAGUCCAUGUCCACAAGCCCUGGGUUACACGGCAGAGCUCUUGGAUGAAGUUCAAUGUUUUGAUCCCUCUUUAAAGAAAGCAACCGCAGCUAUCCCAGGGACGCGUUCUGAAACCGCCUGUGGCGGCCAUCGGAGCAGGAGCUGAUUGGACUCUUAUCGUCCCACACAUCUGCCUGAGAUAGAGACUUGUAGAGAAACUAAAGGAAUCCAGACAAAUGAAGAGCCUCGGUGUUCUUCAGUCAGAUGGCUCAACUUAGACUGUUUUCCCGGUUGGUUUUUGUCAACUUGAUAUAAACCAAGGCACAUCUGUGAAGAGGAGGAAAUCUCAGUUGAAGAGUCGUCUCCACCGCCCUGUCCGGUAAGUUAUAGACCCAGAAGAGUUAAGUAAUAUACCUGAAUGCAAGCACUGCUACUACUGGCGAGGACACUGAGGCCAUCAUUGCUGUGACAAGCCCAUGGCAGCUGCCUAUGGUAGAAGAAUGAGUGAACGGCUGUGCAGAGAGCUGAAGCCCCACCCUGAGGAGUUAGUAGGCUUCCGGCAUCAAACCCUGAUUCCCUUGACUUUGAUGGGAUGCCAGGCACAGAGGUUGCUUCCUCUGGGAUAGCCCCAAGGUGAGCUAUGCCCCAAGAAGUUUCCCUGUUCCUCCCGGCAUCUGCGGAGGGGUAGAUCCCCAACCUGAAGGGAGGGCACAGGGCUGCUUGGAUUUAAGGGCUAAGUUCAAAGCAAAAAGGAAGUUCUCUUUAAAUGGAAGGGCAGCGUUCGUGCUGGGGCCAAAGGAGGAUGGUGGAGAAUUCCUCGUAAAACUUUACAACUUCCUGCUUUCCCCUCCUCUCCAUCCUUAAGCCACGAAAGCCAAGCAUCUGGGGGGGGGGGAGCGUCUUGCUGAGUGAGGGUGGGAACUACUUCCCCCCACUCCCCCUCUAACCCAGCCAGGGUGAGGCUUCCGACUUCAUCAGUGUCCACCCUCCACUUUUCAAAGGAUAGGCCAUCUCCCAGCCUGGGGUGACAAAGAGCAGCCCUGAGCUGCCCACGGGAGCUGAGGGCACCUACCGCCCUUGGCCGGCUGGGCUUCAAGUGGGCAGAGGAAGCUCAGCUGUUAUCCCUUUUAUGUAUAUUGACUUAGCAGAGUGCAAACAUGUUAAAAGUUCACUUUCUCCUUUAUAGGAGUCUAUAAAAAGGCUCUUAAACCGGAGUCCUAGGGCUUCUGCAAGACAAAUGUAGGAUGAGGCCUUGGGGUGGUGCUGUGCCUCCCUCUGGCCUUUGCAGAGCUCUGGGCUGCUUCGGUGUGCUGAUUCAGGCCAGAGCCUGGGUGUUUCCAUCACAAUGGGUUCAGGCCAGUGGCCGGAGGAGCCCAGCCUAGAGACUGCUCUGAGGCUGGCAGGCUUUUUUGGUGAGUUCUUGGUUGGCCCCUGAGUGGGCCCCUGAUUUCUUGGUUUGAUCCAUUACCAUGCCAGUGGUUCUGAGUCACUAAACAAGCCAGUGUCUGUGGGAGAGGAAACAUUCCUCUGAGUGACAGUUCUCAGCAGUUAUCCUGCCUGGUGACUUGGGUCCCUGGGCGGCCUGCAGUGAGAAGCCUGGAAUGGAAAGGAGACUUCUCUUUUGGUCUGGGAGCCACAGAUCAUACCAGAUGCCUUUUCUAUGGAAACUGUCCUUUAAAAGGACAGCUGAGGUAGCAGGUGACACGUUUCAAGGUCAAGUCUCAAGGCAGUGUGAAGAGUUGGCAAAGGCUAGAGCUUUCUCAGCCUCAGUUUCUCCACCUGUCACUGUGGGAAAGGUCACUUCUCAGAGAGUUUGUCACAAGGAGACAGGGCAAGGGAGUUGGAGUAGAGAAUGAGCAUUCUGUGGUCCAGAGGAACUGGCCACUAAGUCUCCUCAGGGCUCUCAGGCACACUUGGCCCUGAGGCCAGCGAAUAACACCCACGCUUUGAUAAACAGCAGAGGAUGGCUAAUAAAUGGAGACACUGGGCGUUUGGAGAGUCUGGCCAUUCCCUUGCCCUGCUUUCUUCCCUGCUGUGAGCCUUGGCUAUGGCCUAAAACAGGAAGGUGCAGACACCCCUAACCUGAGAUGCAUUGGCCAUCGUAUGACACUAUGCUACCAACCUAAUCCCUUCAAAGGGCUGUAGCAGAGACCUCAGUCCACCAUCUCUUCGUGGUGACUGACCUGGGUGGACUGCAGAGAAGCGGGCCCUCUUGAGACCCGGAUGAGCAUUGACUCAGAAUAUCCACUCACAGCUCUGAGGCAUAAAUGAUAACUAGAGUAAGGGCUUGAGGGCACUCUGGCUCUCAGAGGAGCUGAAUAACCAAGCGGGAGCAUCCCCACACUCCCCUCUGUACAAAUCCACCCAGUGCCCCUGCCAGCUGGGCAGCCAGGCCUGGCCGCGCCACUCUGCCUGGGUCCCGUGGCCUUGCUGGGUCUAGACAGUGGAGAUAUGGUGGAUGUCAGGCAUCCUACACUGUUCCUGCAAUGCAGACAUGCUUGUUGUAUGAGCCCUCUCAUUUCUACUGCCCUGGUUUGCCAUGGUGAGUGGCUCAGCAUUAUUUGCUCAUGGAAAUGCUCUGGCUGGGACAUUUGUUUUAUUUUCUAAACCAAAGACAUGGAGAACUCAGGACAACACUCCUAUGGGCUCUCUGGAAUUGGUGUUCUGGAGUCAAGGUGCCCAGUGUAACCUUCUGUCCUAUCUUCCAAUAUGCUCCUCUGAGUGACAGUUCUCAGUGUUCUGCCUUGAGUACCUUCCAGCCAUGGCACCCACUGCUCUGUGGAACCAUGAAAUACUCGGCGUGUAGAGGAAGAAAGGAAUUAGUGACUUCAUUUCCUUUUAAUUUGUUUAAUUUAACCCCAUGUUAUUAGUGUCUGCUUUCCUAGCCAAUACUGUCCUAGAAUGUUCUUUCCAAGCUGGACAUUGCCUGGCUGCUCUGAGCCAUGGCAGUGUCAUACAGCGAGGGGCUCCAAAGCCUUCAGUCCCUUCGGCCUCACACAAUAAAUGUGGCUCCUACUUAGCCUGUGGUUGGGACAACCAUAUGGGUGUGAGGUAGCCGCUCUCCAAACCUGGUCAUGGCUAGUCUGGGUGUGAGCCCUGUCUAGCCCUAUGUGGUGAUAAAGGAAUGAAAGCAGUUCUCAUUUUUAAGCCAGGAUCUUCUGGGACCAGCACUGUGACAACCCACAGAGCCCUACAGAAGAUUGUGUGUGUGUGUGUGUGUGUGUGUGUGUGUGUGUGUGACUUUUUACAGUGUCACACAGUGGUAGCUUAAGUCUUCACACUCCUCUUAACUCUUCAUGUUUCACCAGUCAUGUUCUUCAGAGCACAAAAGGAGAGACCAACCAGGCCUCCGUUGCAGGAAAGACAAGCCACAGGGGCUGGAGGCCACAGGGGCUGGAGGCCAUUGGCCAUAGGCCUCUCUUACUUGGGGUUCCUGUGUUCAUCCACCUUCUCGGCUCUCCAGUGAGGGGACACAUGUUUUUCCCUGCCAUCUCUUCAUGGCAAUGUCCCCUGGCUAGGAGUGGCCAAGGUGGUCAUGGCAAUGAUGGCUUUGAGUGUCCUGCAAGGCAGGCUGGGCCCCUGACAGUCAGGACAACCUUGGAAGCUCCCUAUUUCAGAGCCCUGUUCUCUGUGACAUCCUGUGACAUUUGCUGGGAGCACAGGCCACACCCCCAGUCAGUCUCUCUAUGAAAUGGCUUCUCAAAGGACUACCCUGAGCUGGGCAGGGUGCAGAGUAGGGUGGUCCUGCUCCGUGGGGCGGGAGCUGAAAAGGCCUUAAUAGGCACAUUGUCCCUGUGUUUCCAGAGUGCCGCCCGGCCACUUCCUCACACACUGCGCGCUGGAUGAGCUCAUGUCUGAAGCUGGGAGUAGCACAGAGAGCCGGGCCUGGCUGCUGGGAGGCCCUAUGGCCUGAGAAGCCCUCGCAGGCUGAGGCUGGCGGAGUCCUGAAGCGGAACGUUGUAAUGAGCGACGCCGACUGGAUUUAUGGGGCUGCGCACACGGGCCUGGCCUUCCUGCGAGGCCUCCACAUGGGAACAAAAACAAGUGCCGGCCCAAGUGUGGCGCGACUGGGUCUUAACAAGAGUCUACUAAUUACGGGAAGGCCUCAGCCAGAACCCCAACCCUUGAGGAGGCGCAGAGCACGGGGGUGGUUCCUGUCAGCCUGGGCUCUGCUGGAGCGUCCUGUCUCUGCCGGGGAGACCCAGGGCACGCAGACCACGGUGCUGCAUUCACUAGCUCUGCGGCCUCAGACCUGGUACUGAGCUUAAGUGCUCCUCACUUGUCCUCAUCUGCAAAAUGGUAUCCCAGUUUUUCAAGGCCAACAGAAGGUGCUGUCCCAGAAGGAAUAAGAGCUAAUUUCAGAAUUAGUCAUUCCUGUUUUGAACCCUAGUUUAGCCAGGUCCUGUUCUGUGGCCUGGGCAAAUUGUUUUACCUCUCUGAUCCACAUAUGUUACCUAGAGGACAGGGGAUGAAGCAUUCAGGCUGUUAUGGUGUCACAAAAGGCAGUCCUCGGAUCCUCUGUCUACAUACAGUGCAGUUCCUUAGUGCACACACGCCCUUGCACUGGUGGUGUUUUCUACCUAGGAAUAGAGGUGGCAGCUGCCCGAGUCCUGUGGUGGCUCUCACAGGCCCAGUUGCCAUGGUGAUAAUGCCCAGUGGUGUGAUGGUCAGGGAAGCAGAUGAGGCACAAGGAGAUCUACACGGGCAGUCUUGCUGUGCUCACUCAGGGCUGUAGGCCUCUCUCUCAGAUUGGGAAUAAAACAAACCAGGAGGUGGUACUGUGGAGCAAGCCGCAGAACUGGGCUCUCUGGUCAUAUAGGGUGACCAAUGAGGAGCUUCCUCACACAGACAUGUAUACAACCGGCAGGACUGAAUACAAUGUGGCCUGGCAAGGACAGCUUUCUGGGGCCAGUGCCCUGCCCUGUAACACGUAUCUACACAGCUUAUUGGUAUGCGUGCAAAGUUUCUCUGCUGUUACACUGCCGAGUCCUUUCUGCAAACUUUUCUCAUCAUCCUCAAGGGCUGUGCUUGAAUCCUUUCCAAAUCUGAGGUAAGGUCAAGCAGAGGCACCAGAGGCUGUGAGAUCCAGGCUGCAGCACACGGUACGGCCACAGCGGCUAGCCUCCAACACCAGACUACGCUAAAGCCACCGUGUGCACACGGGAAUGCCAACAGUGGACUGCAGUGUCAGAAAUAUCCCUUAUGUGUAAGCCUGAGGGAGUCUGCAUUUGCCCAAGCUGCCCUGGCUUCCUCCGAGGCAGGCUUUCUUUCUCUAUGCCCACUGCUUGCCCUUCGCACACUGGCAGUGAUUCACAGCCCCAUCGUGCUCAGGCCCUUUGGUCAAGGCAUGGAGUGAGUGGCUUAUGCACUGCCAUGUUUUGUGAAGGACAGACUCUCCUUCGAUUACUCAGGGCUGUGUCCCAGACCCUAGUACCAUGCAUGACCCAGAGGAGUCAGGGACAGUGCGCCUAGACACAGUCCAGAGUGCAAUGGCAGAGGUAGCCGCUUUCCAACAGGAUGGCUGUCUGGCAUACAGGCUGCUGUGGCCGGCAGAUGUUUAGGGUGGCCUGAGAAAAGGCAUCCUUCCAGAAGGGAGGCAGUUCUGGAGGAUGCAGGCCAUGUCCAGGAGCGGAGAAACACAGGGUCAAGCAGGACUGUAAAUUAGCAAAGGUGAUGGGAUUCUUGAAAGAGCUGGUGCAUGCAAAAGGCUAGAAGAGCGAGGCACGUGGACCUCUAGAGUCGGGUCAGGGGCAGCGUUGCCGGUGGGGAGAGAGCUGGGCAGAGAGUAGCCAGCUACUCUCGGGUGACAUUGAAGGCAGCUUUCUACUUCUAUGGCUCUCAGCUUACUUGCUGUAUAAAAUAGGCACCGAGUCUCCUGGGGCACUGUGAGGCCUCAGGCACAGCACAUAUCCACGUGUCCUGUGUGUGGGAAGGGGCCAGGAGAAUGAGGUGCUGUUUUGGGAGGCGCUGGAGACACGCUAGAAGGCAGAAGAGAGAUGGCCCCUGGAGGUGACAGCCCUCGGCUGUGAUACUCAUGGACCCGUCAGCAUCUUCUCUCCUGUUCAGACUUACCCAUCAUUCAUUCCGUAUGUGCUCUUAGGGACAGCGGGCAAACAGUGCCAAGACUUGGAGUGAGCAGAAGGCACCUUCAAGUUCCUGUGGUACUUGCCCCGUGGCACUUCCUUUUAGUGUAUGCAGCCAGAGGACCUCAAGGUGAGACCUCAUAGCCAGGAUCUCUGUGGGACCUAAUGAGGAGCUGCUGGGUUUCAAUUAUGCGGGGAGUGGGGGGGGGCUUGCCUUGCACUGUUUGACUGACAGCUCAUUACCCUGCUGCCGUUUUUUGGGCAGUGGAAUUUAAUCUCCCAGGUGGGAAGCGAAUCAAUUUGCCCAUCUGCCACAGCUGAGCCUACUUGAACUCAACUCUAAUUUAUUCUCUUAAGCUUAGGAAGCCUUGUUGUUUCAGAGUACAGAAAUAUUAAAUUUCCCAGGCAGCCUGGGCAGGGGUGCCCAGGCAGAUGUCCCAGAGUCUCUUUUUUGGGAUCUGGCCUGAGCAAGCCAUGAUGGUCAGCUAGAGUCUGGAGGAGAUGGAGCUCUUGCCUGUUAAGGCCUUCCGGUGUGUUGGGUGUGGGAGGGGGGCCAUGUCAUCAGCUGGUGCUGAGAUCAAAGUCACCUGCCCAAGGGCUGAUGGCCAGAAAAGGCUCUUGCCAGCAAGGGGCACAGCUUCCUGUUCUCUGUGUUCUCAGCUGUGUUCCUCUGUACUGUGGGUACUAGACACAAGAUUUAGAAAGGGCCAUUCUGGUACUCUCUGCUUUCUCUUCACUACAAUGCAGCUAUAAACCCGAAGCCACAGUAAUGACUUGUAAUCUCUGAUACUUGGGCAGUUUCCCUAUUUUGCUCAGGAAGGUGAUGGAGGGACAAAAGGCACCUACUGUGUGCACACCAGAACAUCUCCAGGCUGGCACCAGGCACACAGAGUCACCAUCAUGCGUAGCUGCCAUGGGCUGGGAAACCCAGCAGACUGUUCGGUCUCAGGAGAUGCUGACAGCAGCUCUGUGGACAGUUGUGGCCACUUCACAGAGCAACACAGGUCCAGGAGGGCAUCUCAGAGACAGGAGCUGUUUUGCAGGAGGUAGCUCCCACUGCCUUCUACUCAGGUUCUAAAGGUGGUUAUUAGGAUGUCUCUCAAUUCUGUCCAUGAAGGAUCCGGAGCCUCCUAUGUAUCUAUGUGCGUAAAUGUAUGUAGGCCUAUGUGUGUGAGUGUGUACACACAUGGCAUUUGAUGAGGUCGCUGGGGUGGCAGCAGAAGAGGCAAGUGCCUUCUGUGGAGGGAAGCAGUGUUUCUGUAACAGUUCCUGAGUCUGACAGUACAACGCCCGCUGGGUUGGUUUCCAGGGGUCAGGGAGAGGCCAGUCUGUUUGCAUGCCUUUGUCAGGAGCGCAGGGGGUGUCGGGGCCUGGGAUUAAUGAGCAGUGUAUUGCCUCACCUGUUGGGAGGGUGAUUUUGAUAUGAGGGGCCCCCAGAAGCAAACAUGACAGGUCAAGUUCUAAAUAGAAGAGAAGCCCAAGAAAAGGUGGCCUCGCCCUUGCCAUUGAGCAUGUCUCUUUCUUACUGAGGAGUGGGCGCCGGGCUCCCUCUUGCCCCACUACCUUCAGGCAGAUUGGCCCCCUCACCUCUGAAAGGUAGCCCCAAGGCCAGCUUCUAAGAUAAAGUUCACCAUAGACACUUCAGGGAAAAUUAAACAUUACAGUUGCUAAUAAGGAUAUGGGCCAGGUUUUGUCUUCAGGACCACAUGGCGACUGCCAAGCACCAUGAAUGGCAAACAAAGAAUGGAGAUGCUUGCUGGACUCCACCUUUUGAGGAAGGCUGAGCAGACAGCCUAGGAGCCCUGGGACCCAGAGAUGUAGGCUUUGGGUGAAGCAGGGAGAUUGGUACUCGUGGCACAAUCUUUCCCCUCUUUAGUGUUUCAUAAGCCAAUCUGUCAGAGCUGGCUGUAGCUGUGACCAAAUAGACACCUGACCCUGAAUGGAAAGUAAUUUGACAAAUGCUGGUACUUGGGCACAGAGGUAGGGAAGGAGCCACAGCACGAGUAGGAUGCUGGCCUGGAUCCUCAGCAUAUGGGCCCAGGGUUCCUCUUGGCUGGAGCUGAGGAAGCCGUCCAAGUUCCACUUGUCACCCACCACUUUGCUCCCUUGGCUGAACAGAUCCCAAGCUUUCCCACCAGUGCUAAGUUACAUGUUCCAAGAAACCCUAUGGAGCUUCCCAUACUAGGAAGCAAAGCUCACUUCUCCCAGCCAUUGCUGGACAGAGGCACCCUGCCCUGUCGGUGUGACAGGCCACCCAUCAGAAGCCUGCGACACAGGCAUCUGGUAAAUCCAUGUCAAGCUUGCUUAAAUACAUAUUUAAGAAAUAUUUUUUAUAUGUGUGGGUGUGUGCCUGGUACCCAAAGAGGCCAGAAGGGUGUUGUCUCCUGGAACUAGAGUAUGGACAGUUGUGAGCCACCAUAUGGGUGUUGGGAAUGAAGCCUGGGUCCUGGAAGAGCAGCCAGUGCCCUUAACCACUGAACAUCUCUCCAGCUCCUUCAGCACACAUUUUGACUCACCUUUCAUGCAGUCGGUUGUCUAUGGGACCCAGGCUGACCACCCAGGUCCUACCAGUGAACCAACGAGCGCAGUGCCAAAUGGGCUGAUACCAAAGGGGAGACUAUCUUUGGAAAGCUUUGGUUGGAGUUUGGUAGCGCCGAGUUCCGAUCCCAGUUCCCUCUAUAGCCUUGUGGUCUUAUGGGAGAGUAUGCUUCACCUCUUUUUUCCCUACCUGUAGAGACUGUUACCGUCCUCCUUGCAGGCUCGCCGCGAGGAGCAGGGGAAAGGAUGCUCACAGCUGCUGUUGUCAGCUCAGACCCAGCUGGAAACUGCUUUUAGAUCCCAAAGGUCAACUCAUGGAAGAAGCUGCUGAGAAAACCAUGGUUUCAUUUGGGGAGGAGGCCUGCUGCCAGGAGCAAAGGUUGCUCUUCAGAGACAGGCCAGAGCAGUGGGCGGGGAUGGCUCAGUGCUUGCUGUGGAAACACUAGGACCCGAGUUCAAGUUCUUAGCACCCACAAAAAAAAAAAAAAUAAAAACUCCAGGUGUGGCUUCCUGAGUCUGUGACAGCAGCGCUGUGGUGAGGCGGAGUUAGAGCGUGCUGGUGUGCUGGCUGCCAGCCUAGCUCCAGGUUUUAGUAAGAGACUACUGAGGAAGCAUUCGACAGAGUUAGCACACGUAUGUGAACACACACCACACACAUACAAGAAGUGAAAAGUGUUUCCUAAGUGAAGGGGCAGGUUCAUCUGUCUGGGUUCAUCUGAGGGCACAUGGCCCUGAUGUCUGGAUGGAGAUGAGGACCCUGUUCUGUGGCCUUCGCUGUCACUGGCAGCUUGUGGCUCAGCUGCAGGGCACUUACCUCUAGGGCCUGCAUGCAUCCCCUCACGGUGAGAUAUCUGUACAUUUGGUCUCCUGUGUGGAGGCAGAUGUUUUGAGAGGCUCCUUGUCGAUGCAGGUCUUAGAUUUUUGGUCAUGAGUCUAGCCUUAAACGGCUGAGCCAUCUCUCCAGCCCCAACAGGUACAGUUCUUAGAGGCAGUGUGUUCCCCUCCACUCCUGGCCUUCGGACAGCAGGCUGGCGGCAGAGAGAACACGUUUUGAUCCCAUUUGAACUCUCAGGUGGACGGCUAGGCCUUUCUCUCCAUUCCCCUGAACUUUCCUUUGUGCGCACAAUCCUGGGAACCACUGUGGAGUGGCCAGUCCCAGCUUAGAAUCAUUUUGGUGAUUUCUGUGAACCCUGAUAAACGCAGCGAAGUGUUUUGUGCAGUUGCCAGAAAGAGCAGAAAGUGGCUGCCCCUUUCUGAGUCCCUUCCCAAUCCUUUGGGCGACAUCUAGUGGAGGGUCUUCAAAAAGCUUCCCCAGUUGCUUCACGGUUACCUCUCCGUUUUUUAACAUUUCAGUAGGUGCCCGAGAUGUUUCAUGUUGGUGGCGUGGGAACUGCCCCCAAGGCCGGGUGGACUGCCAGUGUCCACGGGAUCUUGCCACUAAGCAGCGGGUUCACAGGCUAACAGCGGGGCCCCGCCUUUUGGUGUGAUAGGAGGGAGCACUCGGGUUGGUGCCUGUGAAAGGACUUGCUACGGUGCCUGGCACACAGCAAAUGCCCAAACUACCACCAGGCAGCAGUGUCUAGUGCCCUGUGGAGGCUACAUGUGGGGGUGAUGCUCUUGAGGUUGGUGCAGCUCCUCUGGAAGGUCUGAGCCGUUUUAAGGUACACCCUCUCGGGAAAUCAGUGCCAAACUAACCCCGUUCUAAGCCAGACAUGAGACGACCUAAACCUAGCAACAAUCUGGUUUUGUAAGUGGUUCUGAAGAGGGAAGCUGGGAAAGUAUUGGUCAGGUUCGAGUUCAAAGUGCUUGUGUCUAACACUAAGACCGUGAGUCUAGGCCUGGUUGGGCUUUACUUUGGUUUCAGUUUGGUUUCUUGAGACAGUCUGUAUCGCUCCGGCUAGCUUCUUUUAGCACAGGGCUCUGCCAGCCCCUGUCCCCCGCUCCAACUAAAGGCAUGUGCCACCGUAGCCAGCACAAGAGAGAUCCUUUACGUAGGUCCACACUCUGUAAGUGCUUCGUAUCCCUUCCUGGUUCUACCUGCUCUUUGCAAGGAAAUCCAAGAAGGCAUCUGUGCUUUUAGGCAAACUCAGAUGACGUCACACAUGCCCAUGAAGCAUAAGUGUCUGUCUGCUGAGGCAUCUUGAGUACAGAUCCUGGGACCUUGGUAGUGGCAGAUUAUCUUUGGGGACCCUCUUGCCAGGGACCCUACUGCGGGGGUAUGGCAAAUACAGACCAGCAGAGAGCUUGAGGCAUCAAGUCUAUCCGAAAAGCCCAGUCACAAGUCAGAGAGAGAUGGGGGACCGCUGGGAGGGUAGGACGGACUUGGUCCAGAGUCUGGGGCCAUGGACUCUGCACAGCCGCUGCUCCUCACCUUUGUGGCUUUGGGUACAUUCCCUUUCUUCUCUGUGAAAUGGGGCUAACAACCCAGCCACGUUCAGGAGACUCGAGACUUUCUCCAUGAAUUCUCGAUACAGCCCAGGGCCAGCAGGUGUCUGACCUACUGCUCAAGGUACAGGGACUAUUGGGGAGGGAGCCUCCUGGGUGUAAGCUGUGUGCGCCUCUGUCCUAGGGAGACUGGCCUGGGGCUCACAGGUGCAGUAAUGGCAGUAAUGCAAAGCGUGCCGGUCACAACCAUUUAACAUUUUACUAAGUCGAUUCGCACAAACUCCAAAUUGCAAAUAUAAUUAAGGACAACAGAUGCAGUUCUGUCUUUUAACACUUUUCAUUUUCAAAUCUAUCAUUAAGACAAAAAAGUAAACAAAAGUUAGGUCUGUUGCAAAUUUUAUGAUUUUUUUUUUCUUCUUCUGAGGGGGGAAAACAUUGUCGUAAAAAGAAUGCCACUGGGUGUACAGUAAAGCACCACAACACUCGGUACAAACGGGGCUUCCUGAUGCUGUGACACGGGAGAGGGACGUCCUCCCCACCGCUCUGUGUUAAUCAGGACUUCAUUAAAGUAAAACUAUAAAAUCUCCUAGGUUAACUAAGUCAGACACGGUCUGGAACGCAGUGCUUAACAAGGACGAUGCCGACUAUCAGUGCUAACAGAAAACAUUUCAGAAGGCCCAAAACAAUCAAACUGGAAACCAAAACCUUAUUUUCCCUAGAUGAGUGAAACUGAAAACGAAAGGAGUCCCACCUCCCAGUAAGAGCAAAGGGGAUUUUUUUUUUCUAUUUUCUUUCUUUCCAGUUGGAGGUGGGGGACACGAUGUGCGUUGGCUCUGGGGGUCACGGGCCUAGUUGGCAUCCAGCUUGGCCAUUUCCUGCACAUAGAUGCCUAUACUCUCACUGUCAAAAA